UACAGAGGUCUCAACCGUUGUUCGGAUUCAUUGGGCGUAAAGGGUGCGUAGGUGGCGGGGUAAGUUUGAUGUGAAAUCUCCGGGCUUAACCCGGAAACUGCAUUGAAUACUAUUCUGCUCGAGGUUUGGAGGGGGGACUGGAAUUCUCGGUGUAGCAGUGAAAUGCGUAGAUAUCGAGAGGAACACCAGUGGCGAAGGCGAGUCCCUGGACAACACCUGACACUGAGGCACGAAAGCUAGGGGAGCAAACAGG
rnacentral:rRNA from 1 species